rnacentral:rRNA from 1 species
GACAGAGGAUGCAAGCGUUAUCCGGAAUGAUUGGGCGUAAAGCGUCUGUAGGUGGCUUUUCAAGUCCGCCGUCAAAUCCCAGGGCUCAACCCUGGAAUGCCGGUGGAUACUGUCGGGCUCGAAUCCGGAAGAGGUGAGUGGAAUUCCUGGUGUAGCGGUGAAAUGCGCAGAUAUCGGGAAGAACACCCGUGGCGAAGGCGGCUCUCUGGGACGGUACUGACGCUGAGACGCGAAAGCGUGGGGAGCGAACAGG